rnacentral:rRNA from 1 species
CGUGUAGGCGGCAGCGCAAGUCGGGCGUGAAAUCCCACGGCUCAACCGUGGAAGUGCACUCGAAACUGCGCAGCUAGAGUCCUGGAGAGGAAGGUGGAAUGCUUGGUGUAGAGGUGAAAUUCGUAGAUAUCAAGCGGAACACCGGUGGCGAAGGCGGUCUUCUGGACAGUGACUGACGCUGAGACGCGAAAGCGUGGGGAGCAAACAGGAUUAGAUACCCUGGUAGUCCACGCCGUAAACGAUGAGUGCUAGGUGUCACGGGCUUUGACCCUCGUGGUGCCGAAGCUAACGCGUUAAGCACUCCGCCUGGGGAGUACGGCCGCAAGGCUAAA